UUUGUGCUCUUUGUUUACAUGUUUGUUCUCUCUUGGGACUGAGAGAGGCCAGACAGAAAUCCAUCUUCUCCAACCCAUCCUAAUCCAAGUCUCCAAUAUUGCAACCAGUAUAGACAACGUUGUCAGAGCCAGCUACUCUCACACAGAGUAAGCCCACUGAAACUGCUGGAGGUACAGCAGGGAUGAAUUUGACCUACAAUGCCGGCUGAGAGAGGAUUGCUGUAAUGGGAGAGGCCGUUGUCUAGUGAAUUCAACAUAGGACUGGGCAUUGGGAGUCCUGUGCACAAAGCUGGGAAAGAAUUCCCCAGCAAGUUAUUCCAGCUUGGCACUUGGGGAAGAGGCUUAUGACUUUACACGUUAUUCCACUAUUCAAAGGGAUAUUUACAGGUGUUUAGCUUAAUGAUCAAUUAAAUCGACAUGGCAGAGUCUGACUACUUUUCAUCAUCUUUCUAAACUGAAAAUCCAAUACACCACUCUCAGACUGCAUCUGGGAAAGGAAAAUCUACACAGAUGCAAGAAGUGACAGUCCAGGUGCAAGGAAGACACUUCAAAAACCAGCUCAUCUAAUUCACCAUUGUAGUAUGCUAAAAAUAAUAAAUUGUGUGAUAA